UAGGCAUGGAGAGAGUAUGGAUAAUGUUAGAGGUAGGAUCGGAGGUGACACUGAAUUAAGUGAGGCUGGAAAAGUUUACUCUAAGAAGCUUGCUAACUUUGUUGAAAAGCGGCUGAAGUCCGAACGGGCUGCCUCUAUUUGGACCAGCACGCUUCAGCGAACAAUUUUAACCGCGAGUCCUAUUGGUGGAUUCCCUAAGAUUCAAUGGCGUGCACUUGAUGAGAUAUAUGCUGGAGUUUGUGAUGGAAUGACAUAUGAAGAGAUAAAGAAAAACAUGCCCG
rnacentral:misc_RNA from 1 species